AAUCAAUCAGUCGAAGCCCAAUGAUUACGUAUCAGUGUAACCGCCUUUGAUAAUCCAUUCCAUCGUGCGGGCGCGGGAUGGUUCCUCAGAAAUUCGAAUCUGGGAGAGUGCUCUCAUCGAAUCGUGAUCAAGAUGGAGUUUGCCGAUGGAUCCCUCAGUUCAAGCCGAGAUCGAUCGUGUAGCUUGGAUUCUUUGUCUUCGCUUCUCUUUUAUUUCCUUGAUUCUCGUUGUUUUUUUGAAUUUCUGACCUGUCUCGGUUCCGAAAGUUGAAUUUCUCAUCUGUCUCGGUUCCGAUCGGUUGAAUUUUGAGUCUGUCUCGGUUCGAUCGUUUGAAUUGCUGGAUCUGUUUGGUUCCAGCCGUAGUUUGUAUCUCCGCUUCUCUUUCAUUUUCUAGGUUUUGAUCGGUUGAAUUCGAAGCCUAUCUCGCUUAGUUCGAUGUUUUGCGUGGUUGAAUUUCUGAAUUGUUUGAUUCUAGUGUGAGCUCCGCGGCUAGGGUUUCCGUGCUGUUAUUGUUGUUGGUGUUGAGGAUGAAAAACUGCGUCUCCGAGAAUAAUCUAGCGCCAGGUUCUACUCAUUAUAUGCUCUCUAGUUGGGCUGCUUCAGAUGGAUGUGGAUUUGUGAAGAACUGUGAAGGCCGGGGUGUUGAAGUGCAGAGUCUGAUUGGGAAAUACAUGUCAGACUUUGGUGCAGAAGUUUUUUUUUAUCAGUAGCUCUGCCCUGAAGUGAAUCAAUUUCAUCUAUUGCACAUCUUAUCAGAUCCUACAUCUCAUGCGAUGGUGGAGUACAUUGAGUUGUUCUUGUGAUGUCAAUUUUGUAGGGCUAUAAGUGGUCCAUGCGGUGGCGAAAGAGAAUCUAUUUUGUUGGUUACUCCCUAUGAUUUGUAAGUGACGGAAUAAUUGCUUUGAGUAUGCUUUGUUUUCCUUGUUCUAUGGGGUUACCUGGCUUGCCAAGGGCAGAAUAUGGCUUGCUGCCGGUCCGAGUCGUGGAGGAUUGCUGUGGUUGCUGAUUCUAGUUAUGAAGACUACAGACCUGCUGCCGUGUAGUUAAUUGUUGGGCAAUUAUUCAAGGCUGAGGCAAGGUGGCCAAGAUUUCAAUUCCUGGUGGAACUUUUGCAAUCCAGCAGCAGGAUAUCUUGAAGGCAGUGCCACACUUGUGAGUUCCUUUUCUACAGGUCUCUUGGUGUCCCAAUCCCAACUGGUUGACAUUGUACUAUGAAAUCCAAGUGGAUGCGGUUAGUUUGAAAGUUUCAUCUGGGUUUCCUCCUGAAACGAAGCGAAUGCAGGAUUAUGAGGUGCCCGAUAUAUAUUGCAGUUUCUGGAUACUAUUACAAUCUGUUGUAUCAGCCCAGCAGAUGCCGAUCCCAAGGCAUCAGGUGAUAAGGUCAUCUUUGAUAUCACGAAAUUUCUUAUCAACUUUCCCAUGACCCAGCCAUUUACACUAGACUUGAGACCGAAGAAGGUUUUUUUAGUGCUCUCUAAGCCAUACGAGCUGCCUUUCUACGUAGGUUCGGUCCACUUUCUCUUGCUGCUUAUUCUGCUCAAAUCUUUCUUGCGUUCGUGGGUAUUGAGGGUGUAAUCCGUUCUUUGUUUUCAGAUUUAUUUAUUUAUUUAUUUAUUUGUACGCCUCUAUCGAAUUAGGUGCUUUGCUAUGCGAUCGCAGGAUAUAGUUGGGUUCCUA